UUCGCGCGCUUCUCGUCCGCAUGCUUGGCGUCCUCGCUGGUCGCAGUAACAGGCCCGGCUUCUUUCCCGUGGGAACCUGCUUCAUGCUUUGAGUGGUGAUU
rnacentral:lncRNA from 1 species